rnacentral:rRNA from 1 species
AGCGAACGCUGGCGGCAGGCUUAACACAUGCAAGUCGAGCGGGCAUCCUUGUGGUGUCAGCGGCAGACGGGUGAGUAACGCGUGUGAACGUGCCCUUCGGUUCGGAAUAACUCCGGGAAACUUGAGCUAAUACCGGAUACGUGCGAGAGCAGAAAGGUUUAUCUGCCGAAGGAUCGGCCCGCGUCUGAUUAGCUAGUUGGUGAGGUUAUGGCUCACCAAGGCGACGAUCAGUAGCUGGUCUGAGAGGAUGAUCAGCCACACUGGGACUGAGACACGGCCCAGACUCCUACGGGAGGCAGCAGUGGGGAAUAUUGGACAAUGGGGGCAACCCUGAUCCAGCCAUGCCGCGUGAGUGAUGACGGCCUUAGGGUUGUAAAGCUCUUUUCUCCGGGACGAUAAUGACGGUACCGGAGGAAUAAGCCCCGGCUAACUUCGUG